AAUCACCACCGUAUCCGACAUAUGUUUAUAUUUGUUGCAUUCCUUUUGUGCUAGGAUAUAACUAUAUAUAUACACAUCUGACAUAUUAGUUCUUAAACAUUAAGUUUCUCUAGAUAUCUAGCACCACCGUAUGUUGCUAUAUAUGUUUAUUAGUUGUGUAGAACCAUAGCAUCCAAGAAGAUUAGCAUUUCCAUGUAUAGCUAAUAAAAGGGCACCAGCCAUGGUAUUUUCAAGCCACUGGUUCAACGUGAAAAUGGGGAAUUUGGCCUAGGGAGAGAGUUGCUCCAAGACCAUGUAUAGUUAUCCUCCUCCGUCGACUUUAUGUUUAUAACAUCGGUUUCCUCCGGAUCCUAGCAAAUCAGAGAUUUUUUUUCAAAGAGAAGUAAAGUGGAAGAAAAGUAUUCCUUGGCAUAUAAGGUAACGGCGUGACAUUGGGGGAGGGCAAGUGAACGAUAACAUAGCUAAACGACAAAGGUAUGUGAGGCUAGUCCUUUCUUUCUAACGGCAUGAAUCCUAUAGCAUAAGUUCUUUUCCUCUUCAUGAGUUCCUAUUUUCCGGAAAGCUAGAAACCUAAGUCCAUAAAUGCCUAUAUAAGAUAAGAGAUAUGAUAUGAUGAUGCCAUAUUGAUAAUGAUGCUAUUUAUUGCUUACACUCACCUUAUGUACUAAUUCCUUCAAGGUGAGGCAGAAUGUCAAUAAUUGCUCCAUAAUGAAAUCGGGGGAUCACGACCUUACGCCACCCCGAUAGAGUAUAGUUGAUCUUGAAUCUUAUGCAUGUACUAUGAUAAGCAUAUUAUGAUAAGCAUAUUAUUAUAAGUAUUUUUGAUGAGCAUGUCAUGAUCAUAUUACACCGCGCCUAGUUGGCCGGGCAGUCACCGCCAAGGCGGGCAGCUAUACGGAUACACCAUGACCUUUUGGCAUGGGCAGACACCACUAGUGGGCGGCAGGAGAUGGUACCCCAGACGCGGGAGGCCUGGACGCGGGCUAAUGUUAUUAAUUAUCACACCGUUCCGAUAUGGACGGGCAGCUUGCAUAUUAUGCAUAUAUGAGAUUAUGAUGAGUAUGAGUAAGACAACAUGCAUUACUUCUUUUAUGAUUGUCAUUCAGAUUCAUAUGUUUCAUAUUGAUGUUCACAUUAUAUUAUCACUGUCUUUCUUCAUUGUUUAUGCCUCUCAUACUCAGUACAAUGUUCGUACUGACGUCUGUUUUCUUUGGACGCUGUGUUCAUGCCCACAGGUAGACAGGGAGGUAAGCUUGGUCCAGACCCUUAGUAGCUGUCAGCUGAUUAAGAGCACUCCAUUGUCCGGAGGUGCUUAUGAUUCUUCUUUUGGUAUAUAUGCAUAUUUUGGGCACGACGGAGUCUUGUUCCGUCUAUAUGUUUAGUAUGUCAGUAGAGGCUCGUAGAUACGCAGUGUGGGUCAGAUGGUCUCACAAGAUGUUAUUAUUAUGUAUAUAUUAUUUUUAUGGCCGAGAGGCAAAUGUAUAUAAGUAUUUAUGUUUCUAUAUAAAAUAUGAUUUUCCUACAA